UGCGAUGGUGGAUUCUAUUGAGCAUAGCAUCACUUCGGUCCAAAACUCGAGUCUGACCGCUCCCAUUACAGACUGUGAAAUCAAACAUGCGGUGUUCGAGAUGGGGUGUAAUAAAUCACCAGGGCCUGACUGGCAUCAUGGGUGUAAUAAAUCAAUUUAAACUAGUUGGAGAUAAAGACACAUUCUUCCGAUUCUAACCGGCAUUAUUGCCAUGAUCGCCCAUCGAUGAUCCACUCCGUGUUGCCAUGAUGCUUAGUUGUAGAAUCUCAGUUUGUACUAGUUCCACCUACUAUCGGUCUGAGGAAAAAUAAGGGUCAAUGCUAAUCACUGAGUGAGGACCUUCAACCCUGAGUCACUCUAACGUGCAUUCAAUCAUAUAACAUUUAUUUCCAACACGAAACACACGUGGCUACUCCUAGGACACUAGCUCUUUAUUCAUAUUUUAUUUGAGAUCCCAGCACGCGUAUGCUGGACGAAUUUUGAACAUCAUUGACAUUGAGGCACCUGAUCAGGGUCAUGACAUUGAAUAGAUAUCGUACCCAUUCCGGGUACAACAACACAUUGCAUUGGUGGCACCAUAAAUGACCCAUUUCAUUAAAUAGUAAUGCGAUACACACACAUUGAGAUCGCCAGCAUACGGGCCAUAACUAGGUGAUCAAUCAAUUACCAAUUUAAUCUCCUUAAAAUCAAUAUUUAGGUGACUUCAUAUAAAGAGGUAAUAAUGCACAUAUCAACUCAAUCCCAUCAUAAAUCGCGUAUAAAAGGUAGUAACAAUCAUAUGCAAGCAUAGAGUUUGUAGGCAUUAAAUAAUAAUAGACACAUAAAAAAACGGCUAACCCGGUUGGAUACGCAGGGAACCCUCACCAGAAUGAUCCUUGAUACGAUCGAUAUUAACCCUCGAGUCGAACCUUUAAACCCAAUGAAUUCCUCCCUCGAACCAUAUGCAACUCCGGAUUCCACUUUCCUUAUGAUUUUAAUUUUUUUUUUUGCUCAACUCCUCUGACAUUUAGAAUAAUAAUGUGGUUGCCUCUAAGAAUUAA
rnacentral:lncRNA from 1 species